GGCCCCAUGGUGCAAUGGUAGCGUGUCUGACUCCAGCUCAGAAGGUUGUGUGUUCAAAUCACACUGGGGUCA
rfam:Alligator sinensis unplaced genomic scaffold scaffold282_2, whole genome shotgun sequence